GACGAACGCUGGCGGCGCGCUUAACACAUGCAAGUCGAGCGGAGCGGCGGACGGGUGAGUAACACGUGAGUAACCUGCCUUAGACAUUGGGAUAGCCUCGGGAAACCGGGAUUAAUACCAAAUGGUCUAAGAUGGACUCGCGUCCCCUUAGCUAGUUGGUGAGGUAACGGCCCACCAAGGCGACGAUGGGUAGCCGGACUGAGAGGGUGAACGGACACAGUGGAACGGAGAAACGGUCCAAACUCUACGGGAGGAAGCAGGGGGGGAUGUUGCACAAUGGAGGGAACUAUGAUGCAGCGACGCCGCGUGAACGAAGAAGGCUGUCGAGUAGUAAAGUUCUUUUAUAUGGGAAGCGGUACCAUAAGAAAAAGCCCCGGCUAACUACGUGCCAGCCGCCGCGGUAAUUC
rnacentral:rRNA from 1 species